GGCAGCUAGUUCUGGGGCGGAACAAGUGCGGCCGACGCCUGUAAAACCGUCGGCUCAGCCUAGGCAGGUUCGAACCCUGGACCUGCCACCA
rnacentral:tRNA from 1 species